UAGCAGGGUAGCAUGCCCGUUUGGUGUUUAACUAUGAUGAAUUAUUUAAUAUUUAAUUGUUUUGGGAUAACGGAUGUUACAACCUAUU
rnacentral:pre_miRNA from 1 species